CGGAGGCAGCAGUGGGGAAUUUUGCACAAUGGGCGCAAGCCUGAUGCAGCAAUACUGCGUGAAGGAUGAAGGUUUUCGGAUUGUAAACUUCUCUUAUCUGGGAAUAAUCUUGAAGGUACCAGAUGAAUAAGCACCGGCUAACUACGUGCCAGCAGCCGCGGUAAUACGUAGGGUGCAAACGUUAUCCGGAUUUAUUGGGCGUAAAGAGCUCGUAGGUGGUUUUGUAAGUUGGAUAUUAAAUACUCCGGCUCAACUGGAGAAAAGUAUUCAAAACUGCAUAACUUGAGGUAUGUAGGGGAGGAUGGAACCCACGGUGUAGCAGUGAAAUGCGUAGAUAUCGUGAGGAACGCCAAUGGUGAAGACAGUCCUCUGGACAUUACCUGACACUGAGGAGCGAAAGCGUGGGGAGCGAACGGGAUUAGAUACCCCUGUAGUCG
rnacentral:rRNA from 1 species